GGUCCAGUGGUGUAGCGGUGAACGCGCUGUUGCAACAUUGGAGCUGUUCAUCACAUGUUCACGAUGGAGGUCCUUGUUCGAAUCAAGGCUGGACCA